rnacentral:rRNA from 2 species
GUCUGCAUGGAGCCGACCUUGAAAUACCACCCUUUAAUGUUUGAUGUUCUAACGUGGACCCGUAAUCCGGGUUGCGGACAGUGUCUGGUGGGUAGUUUGACUGGGGCGGUCUCCUCCUAAAGAGUAACGGAGGAGCACGAAGGUUGGCUAAUCCUGGUCGGACAUCAGGAGGUUAGUGCAAUGGCAUAAGCCAGCUUGACUGCGAGCGUGACGGCGCGAGCAGGUGCGAAAGCAGGUCAUAGUGAUCCGGUGGUUCUGAAUGGAAGGGCCAUCGCUCAACGGAUAAAAGGUACUCCGGGGAUAACAGGCUGAUACCGCCCAAGAGUUCAUAUCGACGGCGGUGUUUGGCACCUCGAUGUCGGCUCAUCACAUCCUGGGGCUGAAGUAGGUCCCAAGGGUAUGGCUGUUCGCCAUUUAAAGUGGUACGCGAGCUGGGUUUAGAACGUCGUGAGACAGUUCGGUCCCUAUCUGCCGUGGGCGCUGGAGAACUGAGGGGGGCUGCUCCUAGUACGAGAGGACCGGAGUGGACGCAUCACUGGUGUUCGGGUUGUCAUGCCAAUGGCACUGCCCGGUAGCUAAAUGCGGAAGAGAUAAGUGCUGAAAGCAUCUAAGCACGAAACUUGCCCCGAGAUGAGUUCUCCCUGAGACUUAGAGUCUCCUGAAGGAACGUUGAAGACGACGACGUUGAUAGGCCGGGUGUGUAAGCGCAGCGAUGCGUUGAGCUAACCGGUACUAAUGAACCGUGAGGCUUAACCUU